GCGACCAUACCACGUUGGAAACACCGGUUCUCGUCUGAUCACGCAGUUACAGCAAGUCGGGCCCUGUUAGUACUUGCAUGGUGACCGGCCUGGAAAUACCGGUGUUGCGGCCGUU
rnacentral:rRNA from 1 species